CGCCCCCCAUGGCCCUUCGUAGCCAUUUAACAAUCAUAUCGAUAGAAACGUAAACAAAUCCGUGUUUUCAAAUAUCGCCACUAGACGAUAAAUUGGCUCCCGUGGGUCCACUUAGGGCGGAGCCAAAUAAGAGGAAGGGAACCCAAAUUAGCUUCCAAAAAAAGGCCAAACCUUUCGGCUUCCUAUAUAGAGUAGGCUAUGGUUAUAGGCUUAUGGCGGCUUGUUGUCAAAAGUUAAAGCUAUCUUUUCUUCGAAAAUUACAAUUGAAUUCAUCGGUAAAUUCGAGUGAUUUCGUUUGUAACUUUACGGUGAUGUGUUUUAUUCCGUGUCUAUGUCGGAUAACCUUAAUGCUUCUCACCAACUUACAGGAGGAAACAGGAGGCAUCCUACUGUCAACUAUUUUGUUCAAAAUCAUUGUAUUCUACUGAAUGUGCCAUCGAAAUGAUAAGGAUUUAUCAUAAUUAUCUGCUGUUUGUAUUGGACUUGCUAGAUCACCAACCAGCAUAGACCAAUCUCUCAUUUCAUCUUCUCGAGAGAAGAUUGGAUAACUGAUCAGUUGUUUCAUGUGUUCUAAACUCCAGGUUUCUAAAUUUGCAUGGCAGACUUUAUGAUAAGUCAUGGCCUUUCAAGAAAGUCAACAAGGUCCCUUGUUUACUAACCUGUUGGCUGCUACCCUUGAAUCUCCCUAUUUACUUUCUGAAGCUUUCUGUUGCUACAAUCUUGUUUGAAUAUCAUUGCCCAUCCAAAUAAAUGUUCAUUCUGCUUUAUACAGGGUAAUCUUUCGCUACUGAUCAUGGACUCCAUUGGUGAAACUGAAAACCGACGAGAGAAUGCUGUAAUCCAAGACUAAUAAAUUGUGUAGUUAGCUAAAUUACAAGUGCAUAUCUGGGCUCCCUUCUUUUCUGUGGCCCCGUUUCCCUAACUAACCACUAACC